GUAUGUUUUAACGCUUCUCUUUCUUUCUGUAGAGCCGACAUUGCAGUGAAGGCAUACUUACUUUUUCACCUUAAAGAACGAGGCUAAAAAUUGUACAAUGCGGCCAUUUUCGUUAUUCGAAUGCAUCGUUUUGGUCAUUUGUGCAAUACAACAGAGGGGGGUGGGAUCUUGGGGGAUCUUGGCCUAGUCGCAAUUCGUGGCGGCAUCAGACGCAGCUUGAACGCUGGUUGAACUAUGCUUUGAAGAGAGCAAACAGGUUUCUUCAACGACUAGGCUUCCCGCCUUUGCGACUUCAAGACGGAAGUGCCACGGCGAACGUCCGUCUGGAUUGGGGACCUUAUGGAUUUCGCGUAGUGCCUGAGUGAUGUAGUUUGGUGUUAAUAAAUGUGUAAUACAUGACACGGUCAUGUCCACUGUUU